GACGAACGCUGGCGGCGUGCUUAACACAUGCAAGUCGAACGGAAAGGCCCUGCUUUUGUGGGGUGCUCGAGUGGCGAACGGGUGAGUAACACGUGAGUAACCUGCCCUUGACUUUGGGAUAACUUCAGGAAACUGGGGCUAAUACCGGAUAGGAGCUCCUGCUGCAUGGUGGGGGUUGGAACGUUUCGGCGGUUGGGGAUGGACUCGCGGCUUAUCAGCUUGUUGGUGGGGUAGUGGCUUACCAAGGCUUUGACGGGUAGCCGGCCUGAGAGGGUGACCGGCCACACUGGGACUGAGGUACGGCCCAGGCUCCUACUGGAGGCAGCAGUGGGGAAUAUUGCACAAGGGGCGGAACCCUGAUGCAGAAACGCCGCGUGCGGGAUGACGGUCUUCGGGUUGUAAACCGCUUUCGCCUGUGACGAAGCGUGAGUGACGGUAAUGGGUAAAGAAGCACCGGCUAACUACGUG
rnacentral:rRNA from 1 species